rnacentral:rRNA from 1 species
UACGUAGGGUGCGAGCGUUGUCCCGGAAUUACUGGGCGUAAAGAGCUCGUAGGUGGUUUGUCGCGUUGUUCGUGAAAACUCACAACUCAAUUGUGGGCGUGCGGGCGAUACGGGCAGACUGGAGUACUGCAGGGGAGACUGGAAUUCCUGGUGUAGCGGUGGAAUGCGCAGAGUAUCAGGAGGAACACCGGUGCGAAGGCGGGUCUCUGGGCAGUAACUGACGCUGAGGAGCGAAAGCGUGGGGAGCGAACAGG